CGGGGGCAACCCUGGUGGCGAGUGGCGAACGGGUGAGUAAUGCAUCGGAACGUGCCCAGUCGUGGGGGAUAACGUAGCGAAAGUUACGCUAAUACCGCAUACGACCUGAGGGUGAAAGUGGGGGACCGCAAGGCCUCACGCGAUUGGAGCGGCCGAUGUCAGAUUAGCUAGUUGGUGGGGUAAAGGCCUACCAAGGCGACGAUCUGUAGCGGGUCUGAGAGGAUGAUCCGCCACACUGGGACUGAGACACGGCCCAGACUCCUACGGGAGGCAGCAGUGGGGAAUUUUGGACAAUGGGCGAAAGCCUGAUCCAGCCAUUCCGCGUGAGUGAAGAAGGCCUUCGGGUUGUAAAGCUCUUUCGGCAGGAAAGAAAUCGUUGCUCCUAAUACGAGUAAUGGAUGACGGUACCUGAAGAAGAAGCACCGGCUAACUACGUGCCAGCAGCCGCGGUAAUACGUAGGGUGCGAGCGUUAAUCGGAAUUACUGGGCGUAAAGCGUGCGCAGGCGGUUUUGUAAGUCAGAUGUGAAAGCCCCGGGCUCAACCUGGGAACGGCGUUUGAAACUACAAGGCUAGAGUGUGUCAGAGGGGGGUAGAAUUCCACGUGUAGCAGUGAAA
rnacentral:rRNA from 1 species